UACGUAGGGGGCAAGCGUUGUCCGGAAUCAUUGGGCGUAAAGAGCGUGUAGGCGGCUCGGUAAGUCCGCUGUGAAAGUCCAGGGCUCAACCCUGGAAUGCCGGUGGAAACUGUCGAGCUAGAGUCCGGAAGAGGCGAGUGGAAUUCCUGGUGUAGCGGUGAAAUGCGCAGAUAUCAGGAGGAACACCGGAGGCGAAGGCGGCUCACUGGGGAUUUUCUGACGCUGAGGAACGAAAGCCAGGGGAGCGAACGGG
rnacentral:rRNA from 1 species